rnacentral:rRNA from 1 species
AUUGAACGCUGGCGGCAGGCCUAACACAUGCAAGUCGAACGCGAAAGCCGCAAGGCGAGUAAAGUGGCGGACGGGCGAGUAACACGUAAUCAAGCUACCUGCGAGACGGGGAUAACUUCGGGAAACCGAAGCUAAGACCCGAUGGUCUUCUAGGAACGCAUGUUCCAUGAAGUAAAUGGGCGGGAUCCUCCGGGAUCGCCUGCUCGCAGAGGUGAUUGCGGCCCAUCAGCUAGUUGGUAGGGUAAUGGCCUACCAAGGCAACGACGGGUAGCCGGCCUUAGAGGGUGGUCGGCCGCACUGGGACUGAGACACUGCCCAGACUCCUACGGGAGGCUGCAGUCGAGAAUCUUCCGCAAUGGGCGAAAGCCUGACGGAGCGACGCCGCGUGGAGGAUGAAGGCC